rnacentral:tRNA from 1 species
CGGGUGAUACCCGCCCCAAGACCC